CAGCCGCCACGGUAAUACGUAGGUGGCAAGCGUUGUCCGGAGUUAUUGGGCGUAAAGGGCUCGCAGGCGGUUUCUUAAGUCUGAUGUGAAAGCCCCCGGCUCAACCGGGGAGGGUCAUUGGAAACUGGGAAACUUGAGUGCAGAAGAGGAGAGUGGAAUUCCACGUGUAGCGGUGGAAUGCGUAGAGAUGUGGAGGAACACCAGUGGCGAAGGCGACUCUCUGGUCUGUAACUGACGCUGAGGAGCGAAAGCGUGGGGAGCGAACAGGAUUAGAUACCCCAGUAGUCCCUGUCUCUUAUAC
rnacentral:rRNA from 1 species